AACGAACGCUGGCGGCGUGGAUAAGACAUGCAAGUCGAACGGGAUUUUUUCCUGUAGCAAUACAGGAAAAAGUCUAGUGGCGAACGGGUGCGUAACACGUGAGCAACCUGCCGUGAAGUGGGGGAUAGCUCGCCGAAAGGCGAAUUAAUACCGCAUGUGGCCAAGGAAGACAUCUUCCUGACGCCAAAGCCGGGGCAACCUGGCGCUUCUCGAGGGGCCGGCGGCCUAUCAGCUUGUUGGUGAGGUAACGGCUCACCAAGGCUAUGACGGGUAGCUGGUCUGAGAGGACGACCAGCCACACUGGAACUGAGACACGGUCCAGACACCUACGGGUGGCAGCAGUCGAGAAUUUUUCACAAUGGGGGAAACCCUGAUGGAGCGACGCCGCGUGGAGGAUGAAGGUUUUCGGAUUGUAAACUCCUGUCAUUAGAGAACAAGGCGCACGGUUUAACUGGCCGUGCGUUGAUAGUAUCUGAAGAGGAAGAGACGGCUAACUCUGUGCCAGCAGCCGCGGUAA
rnacentral:rRNA from 1 species